CCCUUAGAUGUUCUGGGCCGCACGCGCGCUACACUGAUGCAUUCAACGAGUCUAAAACCUGCUCUGAUAGGGGUGGGUAAUCUUUUGAAUGUGCAUCGUGAUUGGGAUAGAUGAUUGCAAUUUUUCAUCUUCAACGAGGAAUGCCUAGUAAACGCAAGUCAUCAGCUUGCAUUGAUUACGUCCCUGCCCUUUGUACACACCGCCCGUCGCUCCUACCGAUUGAAUGAUCCGAUGAAUAUCAUGGAUUGAGGAUGUAAGCAGGUUCGCCUGUCUUCAUCUUCGAGAAGUGAAGUAAAUCUUAUCAUUGAGAGGAAGGAGAAGUCGUAACA
rnacentral:rRNA from 1 species